GACUGGUGGCAGAAGGGGUAUGAAUAUAAAGUGGCAUUAAGGCCUUGAAGACAGACUAUAACAUGCUGAAGUUGCAAUAACAGUUUGACGAAGACCCACAUGUAAUCUUAUAUUGACGGUUGUAGAAAUCAUACCAACAGAUUUCACUUUGGGAUAUAAUGGCAAGUUGGGAUGAGAAACUUCUUACAGCUGCAAAGGAGGGGAAUAUAAAAGAGGUAGAAUUAUGUGUAAAGAACAGAGCUAACUUGGAAUGUAGAGAUCGUAUA